AUUGAACGCUGGCGGCAUGCCUUACACAUGCAAGUCGAACGGCAGCACGGGUGCUUGCACCUGGUGGCGAGUGGCGAACGGGUGAGUAAUACAUCGGAACAUGUCCUGUAGUGGGGGAUAGCCCGGCGAAAGCCGGAUUAAUACCGCAUACGAUCUACGGAUGAAAGCGGGGGACCUUCGGGCCUCGCGCUAUAGGGUUGGCCGAUGGCUGAUUAGCUAGUUGGUGGGGUAAAGGCCUACCAAGGCGACGAUCAGUAGCUGGUCUGAGAGGACGACCAGCCACACUGGGACUGAGACACGGCCCAGACUCCUACGGGAGGCAGCAGUGGGGAAUUUUGGACAAUGGGCGAAAGCCUGAUCCAGCAAUGCCGCGUGUGUGAAGAAGGCCUUCGGGUUGUAAAGCACUUUUGUCCGGAAAGAAAUCCUUGGCCCUAAUACGGUCGGGGGAUGACGGUACCGGAAGGAUAAGCACCGGCUAACUACGUG
rnacentral:rRNA from 1 species